rnacentral:tRNA from 1 species
CUUGGGAUAGCUCAGUUGGAUAGAGCAACGGUCUUCUAAACCGUAGGUCGUGGGUUCGAAUCCCACUCUCAAGA